GCGCUCAUCGUCUAGCGGUUAGGACAUCGCCCUUUCACGGCGGCAGCCGGGGUUCGAUUCCCCGUGGGCGUACCA
rnacentral:tRNA from 1 species